GCUACGGGAGGCAGCAGUGAGGAAUAUUGGUCAAUGGACGAGAGUCUGAACCAGCCAAGUAGCGUGAAGGAUGACUGCCCUAUGGGUUGUAAACUUCUUUUAUAAAGGAAUAAAACGAGGCACGUGUGCCUUUUUGCAUGUACUUUAUGAAUAAGGAUCGGCUAACUACGUGCCAGCAGCCGCGGUAAUACGGAGGAACCGAGCGUUAUCCGGAUUUAUUGGGUUUAAAGGGAGCGUAGAUGGGUUGUUAAGUCAGUUGUGAAAGUUUGCGGCUCAACCGUAAAAUUGCAAUUGAUACUGGCAGUCUUGAGUACAGUUGAGGUAGGCGGAAUUCGUGGUGUAGCGGUGAAAUGCGUAGAUAUCACGAAGAACCCCGAUUGCGAAGGCAGCUUACUAAACUGUGACUGACAUUGAUGCUCGAAAGUGUGGGUAUCAAACAGGAUUAGAUACCCCUGUAGUC
rnacentral:rRNA from 1 species